rnacentral:sRNA from 1 species
AACCACUCGCUAGGCGAGUGGUUCAAAAGAAGCCUUAUGGCGAUGAUGCAGACAUCAAAACUCCCUUUGCUAUAAUAAAAGUGCGGUCUGCCAACUGCACUAAAAAUAGCAAAGG